rnacentral:rRNA from 1 species
UUGGAGGGCAAGUCUGGUGCCAGCAGCCGCGGUAAUUCCAGCUCCAAUAGCGUAUAUUAAAGUUGUUGCAGUUAAAAAGCUCGUAGUUGAAUUUCGGGGUUAGUAGGUUGGUCAUGCCUCUGGUAUGUACUGGUCUCACUGAUUCCUCCUUCCUGAUGAGCCGUAAUGCCAUUAAUUUGGUGUUGCGGGGAAUUUGGACUGUUACUUUGAAAAAAUUAGAGUGUUUAAAGCAAGCUAACGCUUGAAUACAUUAGCAUGGAAUAAUGAAAUAGGACGUUCGAUCCUAUUUUGUUAGUUUCUAGGAUUGACGUAAUGAUUAAUAGGGAUAGUUGGGGGCAUUAGUAUUCAAUUGUCAGAGGUGAAAUUCUAGGAUUUAUUGAAGACUAACUACUGCGAAAGCAUUCGCCAAGGAUGUUUUCAUUAAUCAAGAACGAAAGUUAGGGGAUCGAAGACGAUCAGAUACCGUCGUAGUCUUAACCAUAAACUAUGCCGACUAGGGAUCGGAUGAUGUUAAUUUUUUAAUGACUCAUUCGGCGCCUUACGGGAAACCAAAGUGUUUGGGUUC